GUCAACUACCCCGCCCUAAAGGACGGAGCUUGUAAAAGCAAGGUUGACCAAACUCAGUGCCGCUAUGGGCACUACGCUGAUAAGAGGUCGUUAAGACUUACCGUAGAAUGCUUCCUGAGUCCUACGCUCUAAC
rnacentral:sRNA from 12 species